GGGGAUCGCCCUCAGAUGGUUUCCCGGAACUAUAGAUGUUCCCAAUUCACCUCGCCAACUGACAACCCACUGCCUGAUAACUGAUAACCGCUGAUCAUCGAUCUGCAUGCUAAAUUUCAGCCGUGCGGCCGCUUAUCAAUCCGCAAACCAGCUGAUAAGACAAGAGAACGAGAGCGGAGAGCGGACAGCGGAGACCGAAGAGAGUCGAGCUGAGCCAGGGCAUUGCGUCAAGUGCGCUAAUCGCUGGCUCCGAAUCGAAACCAGGGCUACAGCCACCGACCGAGCCGGGCAACAACAAUUGCCGUUAACAAUUGUCGGAGCGACAGCACACUGCGCAAAUUGCACGUCGCGCAGUGUACGGCGGGGCAGCAACAACAACAGCACGGCACAGCGGCUAUCAAGGCGUACGUACGUACAAAUGUACGUAUGUACGUACGAACAUUCACCAAGCCGCUUGGUAAACACAAAAUUACAAAAAAAAAAGAGAAAAAUACCAUGGAAAAAACUGUCGGUAUAUAUGCAUACAUAUGUACAUCCACAUGUACAUCCAAUGUUGCUGACUCGACUCACCGCUUACAUACAGACGCUCGCUCGUCUAUAUGUAGAGAGUGAGCGAGCGAGAGCGAGACAGCAGAGCCGAACGACCGACACACGAAGUACAGUCGCACAGUUAAAAAUAAAGUGUGGGCCGCUGCAACGGGCAGGGAAGCAGAGAGGUGCGGUACAGGCAGGCAGGCAGCAGAGAAGAGAAGAGAAAAGAGCGUGCCGUGCGAGGGUAAAACAACAAAGCGAAUGCUGGUAAAUAAUGAUGAUGGAACCAGUGUGCUGUGCGAGUGUAUGUAUUCCGUUCGGAUGUGCCUCGGUGUGUGUAUACUGCACAGUAAAAUUUCAUGUAUUAAAAUCGUUUGUUCGUGUAUAUGCAUGUACACUGUACAGGGUAAGAGCUGCCAUCGCUGUCUCUCUGCCCGCUGUUGUUGCUGCUUUUGCUGUGCUGUGGCGCUGUUGUUGCUGCUUUUGCUGUGCUGUGCUGUGCUGUUGAUAGCGAGGGACGUAAUAUCGCAACUUUUGCCGUUCCAAAAGCACGGAGCCAAGCGAACGUUCGUCGUUCGUUCGAGUUUAAUUUUGUAGUACGUAGCAGGAAAAAAAAGAAACGACGAAAAAUAAAUGAUGGCGGCAACAACAACGACGACGACGGCAACGACGACUGACUUGGCAGUGUUGCGUUCCGAUUUUUGUUGAAAA